GUGUUGUGUUGUGAUAAAAGCCAAACUCAAACCACAAAAUCAACGACCUUCGAUUGUUGACAUGGUGGUGGUCGUAUAAUAAAAAAAAGCGUGGUAUUAAUCCUUGUUUUGUAGGUAGUAUUUGAUAAUAAAUAAUAUAAAAUGCCUUCCAAUAAAAGAAUAGCCUUCUGGGUAUCCGAGAAGAAAUUACAGAAGCUAAAUUGGCAGGAACUAGAGACAAUAAGUAAAAAAUUUGGUUUUGAGGUGUUCAAAUUGAGUCUGAAAAAAAGUUUGGAAUCACAAGGACCUUUCUGUGUGUUAGUACAUAAAAUGACGGAUAUUAUUGCAUCUGCAAAUAUGGGUGAUAUUAGGUGUGGUAAUCUUAUUCAAGAAGUUGAAAAUUAUAUUUCUCAAAAUCCAUCUCUGGUUGUGAUAGAUCCAAUAGCAAAUGUCAGAAAAUUAAUUGAUAGGUGUAACUGCUAUAGUAUUAUUCAUUCCACUAAUUUAUCUACCUAUAAUGUAUUUACACCAAAUUUUUGUACAUUAAGGACAGGUGAUAAAGAGUCACUGAAGCAACAAUUAAAAAUGGCCAAAGUAACAUAUCCUUUCAUUUGUAAACCUAUGUUAGGACAUGGAUCAAAAAAGGCACAUGAAAUGUCGAUAAUCUUUAACGAGAAAUAUUUAACAGGGAUUAAGACACCCUGUGUAGCACAAAGUUUUAUAAACCACGACGCAGUUUUAUUUAAAAUAUAUAUAGCAGGCGACAAGCACUAUUACGUCGAGAGGCCUUCGUUAAAAAAUUUCAAAGCUUCGGAGAGGGAGACCAUAUAUUUCGAUACGAGUGAUGUCUCCAAGUCUGAUUCGAAAAGUAGGCUUUGUGUGUUAGAUCCUGAAGAUAUUUUAACGGAAAAACCCAAACCAGAUGAAGAAAUUAUAGCCAUAAUAGCUGCUACUCUAACAAAAGCCUUCGGAAUGGAUCUGUUAGGAGCUGAUGUAGUUAUUGAAAAGUCUACUAGAAAAUAUGCAAUUAUAGACGUUAAUGCAUAUCCAGGUCCCAUUUACGGAUUCCCGGAAAAAAAUUGCGCACAUGGCUUUCUGUGACAACUACUGGUCUACUGGACUGUUUCGAGCAGAGGUGGACAAGGUACGAGUGGCCUUGAAGAUUACUUAUCCGAAACACAUAGGCACCGAAAGAAGAACGAUUUCCGAAGUAGAAAUCGAAAUAAAAUUGUGGCAACGAGUUGAUAAACUAGCCAAGAGGAUAAGCUAAACGAUACUUCGAUCCAGAUCUGGCCUUGAGUACCAAAAAGCACUGUCAGCGACUGAAAAGGGUCCUGAAUCCGAACUCCCAAGUCAAGCACAUGUGCUAAGAGGGCUGAAGCACAGCGAAAAACAAGCAGGAAUCAGCUCAGAUUCAAAAUAUGGCUUUCUUCUCACAGAAGAUCCACCCGUAAAGGGUUACCUGCACAUAAUGCAACUUUUGUAUAGAAACCUAACUGCAGGUGACAUAUAACAUGUUACAUUCAACUUUAUUAUGCCUGCAUAUGAGGCAUUGGAUCGUAGGCAGCAAACACUUUUGGAGACUAUCAAGUGACUUCACAAACGUAUGGUAUGGGUAAAAGUUGGUACAGAAUUCUAGAAUUAUGAAUGAGUUAAUGGGUAUAAUACGUAGGUGAUCCGAUAAGUACUUAACCUCUUCGCUCGAUAGUGCUACUAUCACAUAAAAAUUUAUUAUCGUAGAAUACAUUGAGGACGGCCUCAGUCGAAUCAGACUCGUAGUUUUGUUUUGACCGCGUGUGGAAGCGAGUGUGUCUGCGGAUUUUAGAAAAAUGAAAAACCAGCAAUAUCGGUCGGUGAUUUGAUUCUUGUAUUUGGAAGGGAAUUCGCGCAUCAAAAUCAAAUAGCAUUUGAAUGUACGGUAACUCUUUUUCUUUGAUAGCGACCGAUAAAAAUUGGUUUAUCGAGUUUCAAGGUGGUCGCCCGUCGGUUUUUGAUAAGUCACGUCCAGGUACCCCGAAAGCGGCUACAUACCACGAAGGAUAAGAUGAAUAAAAUCCACGAUUACCUAUUGGCAGACCAUCGACUGAAGGUUUGCGAGAAAGCUAAGAUAGUAGGCAUCUCAAAAGAUUGCGUGAAUCAUAUCCUGUAUGAAAUUUUGGGCAUGAGAAAGCUGUCGUCACGAUAUAUGCCGCGUUUUGGCACUCAGGCCAACAAGUGCCACUGUGAGCUGUGAGACACCUUCAGAUCAAUGUCUGAGGCUGUUUAAGCGUAAUAUGAAGGAGUUUCUACGUUGCUUCAUAACCGUCGACGAAACUUGGAUCCACUGGUACUCACCAGAAACCAAGGAACAUUCGCUAUAGUAAAUGCCACCUGCGAACGUGCUCCGGAAAAGGCGAAGACUGUCCUGUCGGCCUGAAAGGUGAUGACCACCGUUUUCUGGGAUUCACAAAGUGUGAGCUAUAUCGGAUUCCUGAAAAUGGCAAAAGGGUCAUAGGGUUUUACUAUGCCGCAUUAUUGCGUCGAUUCGACGCCGACUUGCAAAAAAAACAGCCCCAUUUGUAGAAGAAAUGGGCAAACUGACCGAUUUGGCUACGAACUACUGGAUCAUCCACCGUAUUUUCCAGAUUGUUUGUGUGGUGGUUUCCAGGUGAGUUUUUAAUCUAAGCCUGAAUUAAUUUUUUGUAAUCAUUUUUUCCUAUACCUAACCUUUCAUGUCUACGAGCACAUGGUCAAUUUUAAAUAACUAUUUAUUUCUUUCUAAUUUACAUAUAUCGCCGGCGAUACAAAAACGAGGACAAAAUGAUCCAGACUGCAAUGAAUUUCAUCUAGACUGCAACUAACCAACACCUGUAGGCCUGGUGGCCCAGAACAUCCACGUCGCCAGAGCCAAUUGCAGAACCAACAACAGUACCAUUCGACAUCAAGAAGUUACCAUCGAACCAGAUACCAAAAGCCCAGUAUAAUCCCAAAAGUAUAAUCCAAGAAUUGUUAGUUUUUGGCAAGAAUUUGAAUAUAUUUGUUAAUGCAUUUAAUAAGUCACAUUUUUAUUACAUC